UUUUCCAUUCAGUCAGCAUUAGGGUUUUAAACCCUAAACUGAACUUUUCCUUUAAUCAACAUUAGGGUUUUAAACCCUAAACUGAAUUUUUCCUUUUAGUCAGCAUUAGGGUUUUAAACCCUAAACUGAACUUUCCAGCCAGUCAGCAUUAGGGUUUUAAAACCCUAAACUGAACUUUUUCCUUUCAGUCAGCAUUAGGGUUUUAAACUCUAAACUGAACUCUUUCCUUUAGUCAGCAUUAGGGUUUUAAACCCUAAACUGAACUUUUUCCUUUAGUCAGCAUUAGGGUUUUAAAUCCUAAACUGAACUUUUUUCCAUUUAGUCAGCAUUAGGGUUUUAAACCCUAAACUGAACUUUUUCCAUUUAGUCAGCAUUAGGGUUUUAAACCCUAAACUGAACUUUUUUCCUUUAGUCAGCAUUAGGUUUUUAAACCCUAAACUGAACUUUUCGUUUAGUCAGCAUUAGGGCCCCAACCCUAAACUGAACUUUUCCCCAGUUGGUCAGUAUUAGAGUUUCAACUCUAAAACUGAACUUCUCCCCAGCUAGUCGGUAUUAGGGCUCCAACCCUGAAUUAAGCAUUCAUAUCUUCUUUCAUCAAUUUUAUGAACUUCUUGGCGAAUAAUUCACGAAAUUUUCCUAGUGAAACUGGGGCAAAAAAUUUCGUUCGUUUGUUUUUCCCGCAGGUCUAACCUCGAGCCACACGGAUCAAAAUGACCCACGAGAUGAGUCUCAACUCAGAAUCUAAGAAGAAAAAGACA
rnacentral:lncRNA from 1 species